AUACCUUUCUCGGCCUUUUGGCUAAGAUCAAGUAUUUUUUAUCAGUUUAAUAUCUGAUACGUGGGUCAUGUGUCCGCUAUGAUAUUAAAUUUAUUUUUUUGGGGAAGUGUCCACCACAGUAGCUUGCCACUGAGGUGAGGGAUUUUUUCUAUUUAUAUGUUGGUGUAACUAUU
rnacentral:snRNA from 1 species